UCUUCAUAAUUUAUCAGCAAAAACGCCAUAGGAGGUCUGAAACAAGCUGGUUUCUCAUAUUUUUAUACCAUAUCGGGAAUCCGAAGAUAAACGCGGAAAGAGAAAGUAUCAAACUAGUAUUUGAACUUUUACAACUCCUACAAAUUGGCCCAGAUUGAUAUAUAUGUUCGGAGGAUCAGAUCUACAUCAACGAUCACACUAUCCAGAUUUAAUCUGGUAGAUUUUGUUAAACAACUUUUUGAUUUAUAUGGCAUGUAUUGGGACUUGGUCAUUUUGUGUGUAUUCUUAUGAUAUGGCUAAGGAGUAGCAAGUAAAUUUUCGAUAAUGAAUUAACUAUUGAAUUGGUUAUAUAAGAACGUGAUUUGUGUUG